UACGGGAGGCAGCAGUGGGGAAUAUUGCACAAUGGGGGAAACCCUGAUGCAGCCAUGCCGCGUGUAUGAAGAAGGCCUUCGGGUUGUAAAGUACUUUCGGUAAUGAGGAAGGUGAUGUAUCUAAUAGGUGCAUCAAUUGACGUUAAUUACAGAAGAAGCACCGGCUAACUCCGUGCCAGCAGCCGCGGUAAUACGGAGGGUGCGAGCGUUAAUCGGAAUGACUGGGCGUAAAGGGCAUGUAGGCGGAUAAUUAAGUUAGGUGUGAAAGCCCUGGGCUCAACCUAGGAAUUGCACUUAAAACUGGUUAACUAGAGUAUUGUAGAGGAAGGUAGAAUUCCACGUGUAGCGGUGAAAUGCGUAGAGAUGUGGAGGAAUACCGGUGGCGAAGGCGGCCUUCUGGACAGAUACUGACGCUGAGAUGCGAAAGCGUGGGGAGCAAACAGGAUUAGAUACCCUGGUAGUCCACGCUGUAAACGAUGUCGAUUUGGAGUUUGUUGCCUAGAGUGAUGGGCUCCGAAGCUAACGCGAUAAAUCGACCGCCUGGGGAGUACGGCCGCAAGGUUAAAACUCAAAUGAAUUGACGGGGGCCCGCACAAGCGGUGGAGCAUGUGGUUUAAUUCGAUGCAACGCGAAGAACCUUACCUGGUCUUGACAUCCACAGAAUCUUGCAGAGAUGCGAGAGUGCCUUCGGGAACUGUGAGACAGGUGCUGCAUGGCUGUCGUCAGCUCGUGUUGUGAAAUGUUGGGUUAAGUCCCGCAACGAGCGCAACCCUUAUCCUUUGUUGCCAGCGAUUCGGUCGGGAACUCAAAGGAGACUGCCGUUGAUAAAGCGGAGGAAGGUGGGGACGACGUCAAGUCAUCAUGGCCCUUACGACCAGGGCUACACACGUGCUACAAUGGCGUAUACAAAGGGAGGCGACCUCGCGAGAGCAAGCGGACCUCAUAAAGUACGUCUAAGUCCGGAUUGGAGUCUGCAACUCGACUCCAUGAAGUCGGAAUCGCUAGUAAUCGUGAAUCAGAAUGUCACCGGUGAAUACGUUCCCGGGCCUUGUAUCACAACCGCCCGUCACACCACUGGGAGUGGGUUGCAUCC
rnacentral:rRNA from 1 species